rnacentral:rRNA from 1 species
CAGUCUGCAACUCGACUGCACGAAGCUGGAAUCGCUAGUAAUCGCGGAUCAGCACGCCGCGGUGAAUACGUUCCCGGGCCUUGUACACACCGCCCGUCACACCAUGGAAGUCUGCAAUGCCCGAAGCCGGUGGCCUAACCACUUAUGUGGAAGGAGCCGUCUAAGGCAGGGCAGAUGACUGGGGGUGAAGUCGUAACAAGGUACC